AUAAGUCACGAAACAACGAUGCUUGUUGCUCGUUUGUGCUGGUUAAAACAAUUUUCGACUAAAAUUUCAAAAGUGUGUUUUAAUGGCCCUGUUCCGCGUUAAUGUACAAUCAGAGAAACAUCACAAAAGACAAAGUGUUUACUCUUGACGGCUGCCGUUGUGUCUUACGGAUGUGCUUUUAUUUGCUGAUGUCUGGUCUGUGAAGAGGGGCACCAUGGGUGUGUCGGGUUCGACCGGAGGAACAUGAUGAUGCCCGGCCCAACAGGACAUUGCUGACGUGGCACUUAGGCAGGUCCUGGUCCCAAUGCAAGAGUAUUUAAUGCACUUUAUAGGUGAAUUUGUGCACACAUAUGCCAACCUGCUUUGCCAUGCAUUUCAUUGUCCCCAGCGUUCGAAUCCGCUGAAUUUUAACGGCGUAAAUUCCCAUAUGUUUCAGUUUGCACCUGGUUUGUUUCUGUGUUUUUCUUUUCUGACCAGUUUCUUUCUCCCUCACUCUCUCUUUGCCAGGUCACGUCCCGCGCCAGCUUUGGAUGAAGAGUGGCCCAAACAGAAGGACACAGCUUCAGUCAGACUCACUUUACAAGGCUGUCAAAGACGCAAGCACCAGCUGCGAGAGUAGACCUGAAACGAGCACGUGGAGCUGGCUCCACACACAUCUUCACCGGAAACGGUCUAAAUGGCUUCAGAUAUAAGACAGUCGACAUCUACGAGAUGGUGGCAGCCGCCAUUUUGUGAUGUGCUUGGCCUCAGAGAGGUGAAGUAUAUUUCCUGAGGGCCUCCUGACUAGAGCGCGAAAGAGGCUCCCCCACAAGCCUGCCAACACGCUCCCAGAUUUCCAUGAGCGGCCGAGUCCACCUUGACCCGCAGCCCACGCCGGUGCAGGGCCAGGCCAAAAACCUGCUGGAUUUGCCAAUUGGAAGUACUGACCUACGACUUACCCGUUCCCGAUGCAUUCGGACAGGGGAUUCCGGAGUGAAGCUGCUCCACUCUGGGACAGGUGCCAAUUGCUCACAAAAGGCGAGUGAAAAUAUCAGUGAUCUGCACAAGGAAACGUCGGGGGUGAGUGGAAAAUGCAAACUCGCAUGCAUCCGUGCAACUAACGCAGAAAAAAGUGAAGGAUGGUUGCGAGGGGAGGGGAAGACACAGAAAAAGAGGAUCGUGAAAGAAGAGGUGGGGGCGUUUAUUCAAGCCUGUUUGAUGCUCCUCGGGCCUUCGAGAGCCGAUCGCAUGUGCCGUGGUAACUGCGGGACCAUUUGCAUGUGGCAGACACGCUAAUUGUGUGUUUGCUAACACGCACCAUUCAGCGAGACGCGCUCCGGUCCACAGACGGUGUUCACACACGCCUCCCAGACGCCCCGGAGGCCUCCUAUUGUUCCAGAGGCCCAGCCGAACAGCCGGAGAGCCUAACCAGAGCCCUAUGCUGGCCUGCCGAGAGGAGAAACUGGAAUUGGAGACCAGACGGGAUAACGGAACGGGACGGACUCGCAGCCCCUCUCUCUCUUUCUCUCCGCAGCAAGAAAAAAGAGGCCUGUGGGAAGCGCUGCCUCCGGACGCUGACGUCCUCGCAGAUGUGUGCAAAAGUAGAGUUUGAAAUGGACUAACCAAGAUGCAGCCCUGCACAGGUCAGUACGGAUAUUAUUAUCUUUUAUAACUACUUUAAUAACAUGGGGAAAAAAUUUUAAUUUAGGAAAUGAAUGCCUGUGCAUUUAACAAUCUCAUGCGGUGGCUUUAUAUUUAUUGAUUAGAUGGUCUGUAUUCUAAACUAUAAGAUGAACUGAAAUGCAUUGAUUGUUUUUUCACAAUUAUUUUAUUUGUUUAAUGAAUCAGAAAUAUUUUUUUUUUUAGAAAAGAGUAGUUUCACUACUGUUUCUAAACAGUAUAAUGAAUAUAAUACACAUUUGUAUGUUCUACCCUGGUGGAAAACACAUUUACUUUCUUAUGCACCUGAUAGUGUCGCCCUCUAGAGUCCAAAGCCAACUUGACAAUCCCAUAAUAACAAAGCAGAUGUCAAAAUUCAUGUGUGAAUUGCCCAGUGCAGUUACCACCGUAGAGCUAAACUUUAAUAGAAUCACUAAAUUGUCCAAAAGAGUAAAUAAAGCAAGACACUACAGGCAAAAACAUUUUUUUUUUUUUCAUGCACUGGUCAGUUCUGGGAUUUUGCUUUUCAUAAUGUGUUGACUUAAGGCAAAUUAUACUUUUUUAUUGCACUUAAACUAUUUGCAUUUGUAGAUUUCAAUUACAAUAUUUUAUAAUAUUUUAUAUUUAAUAUUUUAUAUAUUCAAUAACAAUUUUCUCAAAAUGAGUUUGUCUCUCCACUUCAGCAGCACUUACAUACACCAAAAUUUACAGUUUUAUUCCUGUUUAUAUUCUGAAGGAUUUCAUAGAAGGGUUUGUUCAUGUGUCAUUCACCUGAUUUUAUUAUUGAACUUUAUCUCUUUAUGUUUGUAGAUUUCAAUUACGCUGCAUAUCUUUAAAGGUCGUUUACUCAAAACGAGUUUGUUUCUCUACUUCAGCAGCACUCACAUACACCAAAUUUUAAAGUUUUAUUCCUCUCUAUAUUCUGAGGCUUUUUAUAGAAGGGUUUUUUUAUAUGUCAUUUAUACAUCAUUUUAUUCCUAACAGCAUAGUGAAAAUGACUUUAUUUUGGCUUUUGACAGUAUUUACUAAAUUACGAAGCAAUAAAAACAGAAAUCCAAAAUCCCAUCUGUAAAAACCUUUUACUCUAAUAUGUAAAUAGAAUGAAAUUAGAAUUUUGAAUCAGGCUUUGUCCAGUGUUCAUAUAUAUGUUCUGGAAAUAUAUGUAAAUGACUGCACAUUUUAUUAGAUAAUGCAUCAUUUGUUUUUGUUUUUAAAUAAUUUUUCAGAAAAUUGUGAUGCAAAAAAAAUGUCUGCAAUUCUUAAUGGAACUGGGGAAGUAUGGUAAUAUAUUUUGGUUCAUUUUUUUAACCCAGUUCAUCUGUGGUAUUUUGCAUUAACUCCUAGUGCAGCCGCUGUGGACAUAUUUCCAGAUUUAGUCUUGAUUGUGAAUGAUCCACAUGUCAUUUCGCCUACCCACAAGUCACGACAAAACUGUGGGUGCUAACAGAGCUCCUAUCUAGUUAAGAUGUUUUUAUGCUUUUAUUGAAGUUUUCAUUUUUUAAAUAAUGUAAUUUCAUCCUCCUGAGUGGAGGGUGAGAGACUUGUUCAAAGGCAGCUGGAUGUUUUAUCACUGACAGUAAAAUGUCUUCAAAUUUGUGGAAUAAUUUGUUUUUGGUUAAUAUUUGUCAAAAAUUGGUCAAGUGUGUUAAACUGUUGCCAUCAUCUUGUUUACAGCUGAUUAUUAUUUGUUAUGUUUACAGUAGCUGAUAAAUCAAGUGCAAGUCAUGUGAUCUGUGCCUAUAUUUCUGAGUUUGCUCUGAAAUGCACAACUUUGGACAGAACAAAAAUGAGUUGGAGAUGAGCAUUGUAGGCUAUCACUCUUAAAAAUAAAGGUUCUUUAUUAGAUACUUCUCUAAAAAAAUAAAGUUUCCAAAAGGGGGUUUCAUAGGGAUGCAACAGAACCUUUCAGUGAACCAUCUUUUUUCUUAGUGUGAAGAACAUUGUAAUAAUCUGAAAAAACCUUUUUCUGCUAUACAGAACCAUAAAGGUUCCAUGGAUGUUAAUAGUUCUUCAUGGAACCAUCAGUGCCAAUCUAGAACCUUUAUUUUUAAGAGUGUAAAGAAUCUUUUGUGGAAUGGAAAGGUUCUAUUAAUGUUAAAGGUUCUU